GCUCGCCCUGUCUGUGCUGGAGAGAGCAGGACUCAGACUCCAGAAGCCUGGUAUUUCUCACAUAGGGUCCUUCUGGAAGGUCACUCCGGUGUCACCGAGUCCUUGUCCCAGUCACUUAGAGGUCGUUUAUGGCCUGCUGGGUGACCUUUAUGAAAUUCCCAUACACAAUCCCCAGUAAAUGACAGAAGCUGAGUCCGGGCCUUGCCCCCGUGCAGCUGCUGCUGUGGGGAAGCGCACUGAUCCUGUGUCUCCGCUUAGCAUUCACGAAGGGUUUUUACUAUGACACCAUUGGUACGUCCGCUCCUUGCCCCGAGGGGACUGAGCCCUUGCUGAGCUCAGGAAUGGCGUUUUGGAGCCUGCCACGGGCUCCUCCAAGAGGAAGAGCGAGGCUUGGGGAGGCAGGGCCUCGGUGGGGAGGGGCCUUUCUCGGGCUUAUCUGAUGAACCCGAGCCUCCCACCGCCGACCGGGCUGGGAACCACCACCGUGAGAGGGGGGUCCUAUCUCCUUCAGUUUCCGGGACUCUCGCCGGCUCCCGCGGAUGUGGCCCCGCCAGCCCCUUUUGUUGCCCUGGCAGAGGGGAUCUCAGUGAUAACGUUAUUCCGAUUCCAUAACUUAUCUGUUCUUUUUGGUCCUUAAAAUAGCUUCAGGUUAGUUUGUAAGGCUCAGUCGUGUUUAUUUAACAACUUCAACCUGGAUCUCUUCUUCUGCCAUUCCCUCUCGCCCCCACAGGGGCCCCAGAGGCUUGGGGACGGGAGCGGGACUGCUCUUCACUCACUGCCGUCCCUCCCGUGGCCUCCAGGGCAGGGCAGGGAAGGAAGGUGCGUGCAUGUGUAUGCGCAUGCACACACUCGUGUGGGCUGGCCGUGUUCACUGCCCUGUGCGGGACCCAAUGUCGGUGGUCGCCGCCUUCCCCGGGUGCCUCCUGCUUCACCCACCUUCCCCAGGCUCAGCGAUGAGGAGCGCUUGACUCUGUGUGGUGGCUGUCCCUUCUUCACCAUCUCUCCUGGCUGUUCUUCCGCCCCCCCCCCCCCCCCCCCCCGGCUGUACUGAGAUAUAAUUGGCAGGUAACACUGUGUGAGUUUAAGAUGCGCGCGGGGCGUGAUGAUUCGAUCUAGGUGUGUAAUAAGAAUGAUUACCACAGAAAGGUCAGUCACCACCUUUACCAUGCGACAUAAUUACCGUUCCUUUGUUUGUGGUGAGAACAUUUAAGAUCCCCUCUAUUAGCAGCUUUCAAGGAGGCACACAGUACAGUACUGGCAACCAAAGCCGCCAUGCUGCACAUCAGCCCUCCUUUCCUGGGCUCUGGGGAGGAAGCUUCCGUCCCCUGCCGUGGGAGGGUGGGAGAAAGGAGUCAUCUCUCCACACCAGCACUGCCCCCUCUCUUGGGGGCUGGUACAGGAAGGCUGGGCGGGGGGAGGGUGGUGUGAGGGGAGCUGGUCCCUGAGUCCCACAGCAGGCAGCUGUCCCCCAGCACACCCCAGUUUUCUGAAUUCAGAAUGUGGGCAUCUUCGGCUGCUGGCUAAAAUUCUGGGACAACAGGAAGAACCCCACUUGCCAUUCCAUUGCUUGCUUUAGUACCGACCCCAUGCCUGGGCCUGCACACCUUUGCUUCCCACCGCAGGGGAUGUGCUUCCCCUCCUCUGAGUAGCUGAAAGCUGUUGGCAAGGGGAGGAGAGGGGAGGAAGCCCACUCGUGGGGGCCUGUGCUGGGACCAGGGCUUCUGGGAUGUGUGGGAGCGGGUUGUAUGUCCACUGCAGGAGGAGGUGCUUGUGGGAACUCAGCAGGGGUGACCGGUGCUGGGGCUCACAGUGUCUGCAGCAGCUGGCACAAUCAGGGACUGAUGUGGAGCAGGCCAGGGUAGGGCUGGGCACAGCCCUGCAGUGUCGCUCUUGCUGGGCACCUGAAGUCUCUUCCCCCUGCUGGAUCUGGAGGCUGCAGAGAAGGAGACACCUGCUGGACAGAUGCCUCCAGCGCAGCUUGCUUUCCCUGCCACCAUCCCACAGGGCACGAACCAGGGGAAGGUGUCAAAACACGUCUGAGGAGAAGAGGCUGGGAGAUGAAUAAGCAAUCUAAUUAGCUGGGUGGGCUGGAGGUUUUCCUACAGUAAUUUGGCACUGAGGACAUUAAUUUUCCCUUCUCUGUAUGUGUCACUUUACACGGAACAAGCACAUGAGGCCUAAGAUUCAGUUCAUCCUACAAAUCCACUCACUCAUCUCAUCCCAAAGGUGCGUGAGAAUUGGUCUCCACAAGCCCGGGGGACCCAGGAGUUCUGGAACAUACCCAUCAGGUGCCAGGUCCCGGGCUGCACCCCUGUUAGCGUCUGGCACCAGCCGAUGCCCGGGACGCAGGCAUCAGCUGUGAAACAGCUCUUCGCCUCCCGCAGCAGCACCCAUCGGGGGAACGCUGUUCGGGCGCUUCACGCGUCCACGUGCGGUUCUGUCACCCGGGGCACGCCAUGGGGCAUGCGAAGUUCUGGAGGGGAGGCCUUGUCCCCCUCCUGCAGAAUACGUCUCAACUUUCCCCAGUGGUUGGAUGUCCGGCAGAACGUCACAUGCACAAGGGGAGCCCGAGGAAAAGAGAACUCUUACCAUGCAAGCUCUUAGCAUUGCUGGGCUGGCCCUGGCCAGGGACCAGGUGAGCCCUGUGGCAGGGCCCCCUGCCUCCAAGGAGAACCACUGACCCCAGCCCUUUGCAUAUUUGCUUGGUGAGGAUGCAUGUGAACACAUGUCUGCACAUGUAGACACCAGGGAGAUAUUUCAGAAGCUUCAAAAAAAGCCUAUGCCCUUUGCUCUGUCAUUCUGCUUCUAGGAAUUUAACAGAGAAACAGUCAGACAUGCAGAAAAAAAAUUUAUGCCUGUGGGAUUUUUUUAUCAUUAUAAUAAUUAAGAAUUACUGAAAAAAUCUGAUUAAAUUUUAAAACACACACAAGGUAAUAUUUGCAUAGCUAUUAAGAUCAUGUGGAAGAGUAGCAGCAGAAAAAAAUGUUUGAGCAGAAAACUUAUUACAAACGACAUACAGUUACAAUUUGUACAAAAGUGCAGCAGAAGGAUAAACAAAAGACUGUCUCUAUGGUUUAUUUUCCAUUUCUAAAGUGAACACAAUGAUUUUUGUACUCACAAAAAAAUACGUGUUCUCCUAAGUGACUUAUUUUAGCCGUCAAAAUGUAACGAUCAUUCACAGGUAAGAACUUCAGUCAAAAUCAGCCGUCCUAUCAGAUUCUUCUCACCAAAAGGACAUCUUCCAACUAAGUAAACUUCCUUACUCAUUGUCCUUGCAUAGUUUGUGUGAAUGUGGAUCUCAGACACCCUUACCGGAAAAGCCGUGAAAAAGACCGAAACCCAAGAGCUCCGUCUCCGGUGUCCCCGCGAGCAGGCAGCUCAGGAACCGACUCGGAACGCCCUGCCCGGCUUUGUCCAGCAGGGCGCACACCGAGGGCUGCACUGAGGCGGCGGACCCACCUGCCGUCUCGGCCUGUGCUUCUGCUCCGUUUCCACAGUGGAGCAGCCCCAGCAGUGCUCCGCCGUGGCCUGCAGGUGCAAACUGUGGAUGCCUCUUCAUGGGGGCUGAUGCCCUACAGAAGUCCAAGUUCUU